GGUGACAGAAGAUAUUCCACACAGUGCCCCAGAAUCCCAUCCUAUAAAGUAACCUCUGUUGGCAGCUAUGUCUCUAAAUACCAUCUUAGGAACUGAGUGCUUGACACACUCACUAAACCUGGACCGUUCCUCCCAACCAAAGCCCCCGCAGCCCACUGCCCUCAAGUUCUGCAGGGCACUGAGUGAGUAGCAUGAGGUCUGCCAUAUAACUCAGAGAAUCCCACUAAUCAAACGAGAGGGAAAGAAAUUAAUGCAGAGGAAGAGGGAGCAGCAACACAGAGGCUGAGUCCUCAGUGACAAACUGAGAAGAGGAAGAGGAGGGUUGCCCAUGGCUGAAGGCAGCAGAUGGGCAGGACACCUGCCCCAACACGGCUGCAGGGCUGGCCCUGCCUCUGCCUCUGGACACCCCUCCCACUUCCACGUGCUACUCUCUCCCCGAAAGCCCUGAAAGCUUCCUGUGCAGCCCGGUGAGGUAUAGGCAAAAGCAGGUAUAAUGAGGCAUGGGGGCCCAGAGGCUGUGUGAAGCUAUUAGAGUGUUUGAUUUAGUUCUCAAACAAUCCCUGGGGCUUUGUCUUUUCCCCAAGGCAAAGCAUCCCAGGUCCAGAGCACAGGCUCGCUGUCAUCCUGUGGUCCUGGACCUGCAACGUCACAUCCCCUGGGACCUAUUAGAAAUGCACCUGUUUAGGGGCCACCCAGGCCUGCCAAGUCAGAAGCUCUGGGGUGCUGCCAAGAAAUGUGUCCUAAGAAGCCCUCUGAUCACCUCUCAAACGUGAGCACCUGUGGUCUACAGCAGUGAUUUCCCACCAUGAGUUUCCCUAAGAGCAAAGAAAGUACUGCCACCUGGUUCCCAGCCCCAGACUCUGAUUUUGUUGCUCACAGUCUGGGAAUUGUGGUCCUAACGUGCAGCUCGGGCUGAGCCCCUGGACUGGGCCUUCCUCCAGGAGGACUCUGUGGCCUCUGGACUUUCUCUUCCUAUCUCUUUGCUUUCCCGUAUUUCAUAUUACUAAAUCCUCUUCUUGGACUUGCCUUCUCUUUUUUUCAUCUACUCACUGAAAACAAGUUAGGGUGAUAAUCGUCUCUCCAAACAUGCACUGCCAAAAAAAAGUGCCUGAACAAGAUAGAUCCUUGUGAGCAAAUCCUCUGGGGGUUUUGCACAGUAUGUUAAAAAUAAUAUAUUCGAUUUUUCCUAAUGCUUCAGCCUGUAGUCUUGGGGACUUACAGUGUUCCAUAUGAAACUUGCCAAAUGAUUUUUUUUAAAUAAAAUGAAUACUACAGUUUAUAUUAAUGUAUUAACAUACAUUACAAAUGUAACCACAUGAAAGUUUUUAGAGAAAUAUUAACUUACCCCAUUAUUCAAAUUAUGUCAAUUUGACCAAUGCAAAACCCUCAGGGCAUGUAAGCAACAGCAACAAAAAAGGUACUGCUUUGUAAAUAGUUAACAGGAGACAGUUUUGCUGCCUUUCUUCUUGGGAUAGUAGAUCAGGCUUUGGCUAAAGACAAGGUAAACAAACUUGGACUUGGCUGUGUGACAGGAGAAAACUUCCAGAGACAAGACCGAGGAAUGCCAGCUGCCCGCAGAGGCUGUCCUACCAGGGACAGCUGGGGUGCGGUGUGGAAGAGAGUGCCUGGUGGGGCUGGCAACCAGGGGGAGGACAGACCACAGACACAGACACGUGAACAAGGGAGUGAAGAUGAUGUGGAGAUCUGUGCGUUGUGAGGGAAACAGGGUGGAGCAGAAAUGCUUAUCGCGGAGGCAUCUUGGUGGAGGGGAGGGUCCAGAUGAAGGAUCAAUAGAGCCAUGGGGUGGAAGGUCUGGGAAGAGGCUUGGGCAAAGGAAAGAUGCAUUUGAGGACCCUGGUGAGAUGGUGUGAUUGAGGAUGGGGAAGGGAAGUGGGGCUGCAGAGGGGAGCUGUGGGAAUUUCUUGGAGGGUUUCAAAUAAAGGAUGUUAAGAUCCACGCAGAGCAUUUUAAUUUAGUGCCUACAAUGAAGUCACACUUUCUUGAGCACACAGGGAACCCCAAAGCAAGGUGAGGCUGAUCUUUCUUCUCCAGAAUCUAACACGUUGCUACCUUUGAGAUACUUUUCAUUCUUCCGUGAGGAAAGACACUGAAUCCAAAAUCCUAAAAGGCUCAAGACCAUUCCAAAGGCUCUCCUCACAUUGUUUAAAAUUAAAUGUUUAAUAUUAUUUUGUAAAUUAUGUUUUCCUUCCAUCCAUUUCCAUUUUUGCUUGGUUUUUCCCUCCAGGCUCUUCUUAAAUCACUGCAUCUCUUUUCUCACCAUGGAUGACACCCACCGGCCAUGUCCAGCGAAUCAGGUAACCUCUUUUGUUUCUCUUUCUGGAUGCUGGGAAGUGCAAAGGUCCGAAAACAUGUCUUCCCUUGUCCUAAGCAUUGGGGGCACACCCAAAGAGUCACAUAUCAGGCUGGAGUUACUCCCAAAGGUUGGCAGCAGCUCCCUGACUCAUUCAUUUCAGGUUUGGCUGGGUCCCCGAGACGGGAUUUCUCAUGUGUCUUUAAUUCCAGUCACAAUUCCAAGCCCUAACCCGCCAAAGAUGCCUUCUUCUGUCUUUUGUUUCACUGUGAUAGUGAGUCGUGCGAGCAUGUGAGCAAAAACAAUGGGGAAGUUGCAUUUGGUUGCUGGAAACUUCACAAGUUUGUUCCACUUUGAUCUGAUUCCUGUAAAACAGCCCACGGUGUGUGUUGGGAGAAGAGAUGCAAGUCAUUUCCAAGCUGCCUUGGACGUUCUGUACGUGUUUCUAAGCAACCUCUGGGUGGAGACCAGUUUGAGCGCCUUGCCCUGGCAAAACAGAAGAGGCGACAGUGUGCAGCUGCUCGGAGGGGAACGUGGCUGUGACCUGGACAUCUGCUCAUCCGACACCCAGUUCGUACUGCACCUUCCUCCCAAUUCUCACCUUUACUCAGAGCCUCCCUCUCUGAAGACUCCUGGAAGAGGACCUGGACUUGUCUCUGGAUCCCUCUCCAUAAAGCCCCUGGGUACCAGGUAAUCUCAAGCAGCCCGAGGACACCACCGCCCAGCCGCUCGGGGUCUAGGAGGACCCGUGCGGCCAGCACAGAGGCUCAUGGACACCAGGAGUCUUCACACAGCCUGCCUAUUGAGUCAACGAGCUGUGCAGAGGGCCUGGCUCAGAGCAAGGCGUAUCCAGGUCCAAUUCUGGGCAUUGCUGUUUAUUAAUGUGUUUGCCCGGAAAGACAUGAGGAUUCUAUCUGGCUCCUUCAACCUCGAGGCAAGGGAACCCACAGAGUCUGCACUGCAAAGUGGGCCCAUCCUCGCUGAAUUCAUUAUCUGAUUAAAUACUUCUCAAAAGAGAGUAUUUUAUUACAAGCAAAGAAAAUGAAAACAAAAAAAUUCGUCUUCUAGUGCCCUAAAGCAUAUUGUAAAUGACAAACACAUUCAAGGCAGCAAAGGCUAGAGAAAAAGAAAAGUCAAACCUAAAACCAGUUGGUGUUGGGUGGAGAGUCGUCAGAUGGGUGUAGCUUUUGCUCCAACUGCUGUGUUCCCGUCUUGCUUUUAGUGCUGGGACUUUUCAGGAGGUGAGCUCUGCCCAGGAGACCCCGAGCCUCCACUCCUCGACAUCUAGACACAUGGUCAAGUUCGCUGUGAGCGAGCACGGGGACACAUGGGCACCGGAGGGCCAAGCAAUGGACGGCCACGUGUGGCUUCUUUCCGGACUUGGUUCAGCCUCCUGCUCUCCAGGAGAGAUCUUAGUGUCUCAUGUAUGUGUGAUUUUGGUAUGUCUCGUUUCCCACAUGAAUAAAAUCAAAUGUUAGCAGCUGCCAUCAACACCAGCAAAACUGAAACCUUGUGUGUUGGCUUUUCAGAAAAUGCAGUUAAGUGCGCUGGUAAUUUUGAGUUUCACCAAACAGUUUAACGAUGACUUCAACUGAAUUUGAGUCUUGUGAGUUUGUGCUAUGUGAUAAAGGAUUAAAUUAGGGCACCAAAGCCCUGAAAUUGGCAGAACUGUUACUAGCAAGGGGCUGGCUAAUUUACUGUUCUUCAGCAGAAAGAAACUUUGGUGAAUCCCAUGUUUCUCCAGUCUAAGGGUGCAUCUGAAUGUGCUCCCAUCUCUUGCACUAAAGGGAGGAAGCUUGCAAAGAAGAGGCAAGGACCCUCUGUGAGUGAGCACGGCACCAAGGGUAAGAGAAGCUUUUAAAACUCCUGCCUGGUGGUACUAUCAGCUGCCUCUAAUUAUGCCAGGUUCGAGCCUGGACACUCGGCAUGUGUCAUUUCUCUAGCUUUAACAAGUCUGUGAAUUAGGUGUUACUAUGGCCAUCAAAUGGAACAUCCCUGGAGGAGGAUGUUC